AGUUCUCCAGGUACUUCACAAUCUUCCUCACUUCCAUCCUCGGCUUGGUAGAUCGGAUUUUCAAAGUCAUAAUGAACAGUAGUAGAACUAUUGUCAACAGGAUCCAGAGUGGGUAUGGAUCUGCAAUUUGUUACGUGAGUGUGUGUAAGAAAACAUAGCUUGUUUGGAAGAUGACAGAAAAGACAAAGAGCGCAAUAUUUGAAUGCAAAAAGUCCAUUGAUUUAUUGAAUAUGAAUAUGCUUAUGAAAAUGACAAAACCCUUAACAAAUUAGCUAUUGUGCCCCGGGCAUAGACACAACGCUUGGAGAAGUUCAAUUGUAAAAAAAAACAAAAAUUUGCAACACUAAAAUAGACAAUAACAAUUACUCCUGACUAAAGGAAAUCGGGAUAGUGUCUUCAGCCUUCCAAUUAUUGAGUCCGUCACCAAUUGUUGGGAAAAUCCAGCUAUCCAGGUCGCAAUCGCUG
rnacentral:lncRNA from 1 species